rnacentral:rRNA from 1 species
CGAUUGAGUUUGAUCCUGGCUCAGGACGAACGCUGGCGGCGUGCCUAAUACAUGCAAGUCGAACGGAGAUAUUCGCUGAUGAAGUACUUCGGUAAUGAAUCUUGGAUAUCUUAGUGGCGGACGGGUGAGUAACGCGUGAGCAACCUGCCUUUCAGAGGGGGAUAACGUUUGGAAACGAACGCUAAUACCGCAUGACAUUAUCUUAUCGCAUGGUAGGAUAAUCAAAGGAGCAAUCCGCUGAAAGAUGGGCUCGCGUCCGAUUAGGUAGUUGGUGGGGUAACGGCCCACCAAGCCGACGAUCGGUAGCCGGACUGAGAGGUUGGACGGCCACAUUGGGACUGAGACACGGCCCAGACUCCUACGGGAGGCAGCAGUAAGGGAUAUUGGUCAAUGGGGGAAACCCUGAACCAGCAACGCCGCGUGAGGGAAGACGGUUUUCGGAUUGUAAACCUCUGUCCUCUGUGAAGAUGAUGACGGUAGCAGAGGAGGAAGCUCCGGCUAACUACGUGCCAGCAGCCGCGGUAAUACGUAGGGAGCGAGCGUUGUCCGGAUUUACUGGGUGGUAAGGGUGCGUANGCGGCUUGGCAAGUCAGUAGUGAAAUCCAUGGGCUUAACCCAUGAACUGCUAUUGAAACUGUCGAGCUUGAGUGAAGUANAGGUAGGCGGAAUUCCCGGUGUAGCGGUGAAAUGCGUANAGAUCGGGAGGACACCAGUGGCGAAGGCGGCCUACUGGGCUUUAACUGACGCUGA